UAGUGUAUAUGAUGGUGUGUGUGCUGUGUGUAGGUGGUGUAUUAGUGUAUAUGAUGGUGUGUGUAUAAUGUGUGUAGGUGGUGUAUUAGUGUAUAUGAUGGUGUGUGUGCUGUGUGUAGGUGGUGUAUUAGUGUAUAUGAUGGUGUGUGUGUGCUGUGUGUAGGUGGUGUAUUAGUGUAUAUGAUGGUGUGUGUGUGCUGUGUGUAGGUGGUGUAUUAGUGUAUAUGAUGGUGUGUGUGCUGUGUGUAGGUGGUGUAUUAGUGUAUAUGAUGGUGUGUGUGCUGUGUGUAGGUGGUGUAUUAGUGUAUAUGAUGGUGUGUGUGUGCUGUGUGUAGGUGGUGUAUUAGUGUAUAUGAUGGUGUGUGUGUGCUGUGUGUAGGUGGUGUAUUAGUGUAUAUGAUGGUGUGU